GCCAAACAGCUAGCUCAAUUACCCAAUAACUAAACAAUAUAAAUAAAACAAAAUAAGCCUAACACCAAAAAUUAAAUCAUUCUUUUACCUUAGUAUGGGCGACAGAAAAGGUUACACCUGGAGCAAUAGAAAAAGUACCGCAAGGGAAAGCUGAAAGAGAAAUGAAAUAACUUAUAUAAGCACCAAAAAGCAAAGAUUAAAUCUUGUACCUUUCGCAUCAUGAUUUAGCCAGUAUAUCCAAGCAAAGAGACCUUUAGUUUGAAACCCCGAAACCAAGUGAGCUACCCCGAGACAGCCUAUUAAGGGCCAACCCGUCUCUGUGGCAAAAGAGUGGGAAGAGCUCCGGGUAGAGGUGACAGACCUACCGAACUUGGUGAUAGCUGGUUGCCUAAGAAGUGAAUAGAAGUUCAGCCUCGUACUCCCUGAAUCAAAAGAUAUAAAAAGAUAUUAGAGGGAAAUAUAUGAGAGUUAGUUAAAGGGGGUACAGCCCCUUUAACAAAGGACACAACCUUUCCAGGAGGAUAAAGAUCAUAAUACAUAAGACAUCCUGUUCUAGUGGGCCUAAAGGCAGCCAUCUAAACAGAAAGCGUUAAAGCUCAGACAGAAAUAAGUUUAUUAUUCCGACAAGAAAUCUUACUCCCCUAAAUAUUAUUAGGCCAGCCCAUGCCCACAUGGGAGAGACUAUGCUAAAAUGAGUAACAAGAAGGCCAGCCCUUCUCCAAGCACAAGUGUAAGCCAAACCGGACCAACCAUUGGCAAUUAACGAACUCAACCCGAGAGAGUAAUGUGUAUUACAACGAAACCAGGAAGAACCCACAAUUAACCCAUCGUUACCCCCACACUGGCGUGCUAUUAAAGGAAAGACUAAAAGAAGGGAAAGGAACUCGGCAAACACAAGCCUCGCCUGUUUACCAAAAACAUCGCCUCCUGCAACACAACCAAGUAUAGGAGGUCCAGCCUGCCCAGUGACUACAAGUUCAACGGCCGCGGUAUUUUGACCGUGCAAAGGUAGCGCAAUCACUUGUCUCUUAAAUGGAGACCUGUAUGAAUGGCUAAACGAGGGCUUAACUGUCUCCCCCCUCCAGUCAGUGAAAUUGAUCUACCCGUGCAGAAGCGGG
rnacentral:rRNA from 1 species